rnacentral:rRNA from 1 species
UACGUAGGGAGCGAGCGUUGUCCGGAAUCAUUGGGCGUAAAGAGCGCGUAGGCGGCCAGAUAAGUCCGGUGUGAAAGUCACAGGCUCAACCUGUGAAUGCCGCUGGAAACUGUCUGGCUAGAGUCCGGGAGGGGCGAGUGGAAUUCCUGGUGUAGCGGUGAAAUGCGCAGAUAUCAGGAGGAACACCAAUGGCGAAGGCAGCUCGCUGGAACGGUACUGACGCUGAGGCGCGAAAGCGUGGGGAGCGAACAGG